rnacentral:rRNA from 1 species
CCUACGGGUGGCAGCAGUGAGGAAUAUUGGGCAAUGGAGGCAACUCUGACCCAGCCAUGCCGCGUGAGUGAUGAAGGCUUUCGGAUUGUAAAGCUCUUUCUGAUGUGACGAUGAUGACGGUGGCAUCUAAAGAAGCCCUGGCUAACUUCGUGCCAGCAGCCGCGGUAAUACGAAGGGGGCCCGCGUUGUUCGGAAUUACUGGUCGUAAAGGGAGUGUAGGCGGUUUAGUAAGAUAGUGGUGAAAGCCCAGGGCUUAACUUUGGAAUUGCCAUUGUAACUAUUAGACUAGAAUUACAUAGAGGAAAGUGGAAUACCUGGUGUAGAGGUGAAAUUCGUAGAUAUUGGGAAGAAAACCAGUGGCGAAGGCGACUAUCUGGCUGUACAUUGACGCUGAGGCUCGAAAGCAUGGGGAUCAAACAGGAUUAGAUACCCUUGUAGUC